ACUUGCAUGUCAUGGCGUCACCUUCCUGAUGUUAUGGUCCUCUUUGAGAACAAUGGACAAGCAGCAACAUCUGUCUGCAAUUCACAUAUUGUGAAGACAACCUAGUCACAGUUUUUAUUAGCUAAUCUACACAUACAUCUCCUUUUCCCUUGUAUAUGACAGAUAACCUAAACUGUGCAAGUGUGACCUAGAAUCCUAAAUGAAAUCAACAAUUGACUUUCUAUCCCUCUGGUUUUAUUGCAUUUUCACAGGAUUUACAGAUAGAAGGGGAACUUAAUGAUUUUAGUCCAAUGACUUCAUUUUAUAAAUUAGGAAACAGGAUCAGAAAAGGUAAGUCAUCUGCUGGGAUUAUAUAGUUAAUUAGUAAUGGUUUGUUGGUUUGUUGAUAUGUUGACUCCAGAUUCAAUGCUCUUCCUCAUCCCACUGACUCUCAGGUCCUUCCUGUUUCUUUAAAUGCUAAUUUUUUCCUAGUCAUCUGUACAUUUCACAAGUAUCCCAAUUUUCUAUCCUCUUCCCCUCCAGUGAAGAAAAAUUGCUGAGCUCCUGACCUUAAGUGAAUACAGACUCAUUGAGAAAUCCCAAGGAAGAACAACUGGAUCCAAAGAAGAUAGAGGAGCUCAUUGUGCAGUAUACAUGGAGCAUAAGCCCAAGAGGUUUUCAAUGAUGUUUUCAGUUUUGCACACAGAUUCUCAUUUAAAUUUCAAUACCACCCUUUGAAGGCAGUACCAAAAGUCCUAUUAUCUCCAUCAAUUAUGGACCUGGAGGAUUGUGGGAGCCAAACAUUGCAUAGACUGUCAGACACAAGGGAUGUGUUGGCUGAAGCACAAACACUUGGAAGUCAGGAGAUUUAGAAGCCAGAGCUCAAGCUCUGGGAACCAAGACUACAAAAGGGCUCUAAGAAAGCUAAGUCACAGAAAAGGAGACAAGACUUGGAAAGAGACAGUAAAGGAUUUGGACUUUAAUAUCUGACUGCAUUUGUGGUGAUUACUGAACUGAAACUAAGGCUGCCUCCAGAGACACCAAGAAAACCCCAACAAGAGAAGAUUACAUUUUAGACAAGAAUAUUAUAUGUCAAUCAAUCAAUGCAUGUCAUCAUUCAUUAAUGCAGAUCUCAAACUGUCCCUGCUUUAGUAGGUAAUUUUUAAAAUUUUAUUUAUUUUUUUUGACCCAUAAAAACAGUCCAUCUUCUGACAGUCCCACCCCGUGUGUGUG